GUGCUCACUUCUGUAGCACAUAUACUGAAACUGGAACAAUAUAGAGAAGAUUAACAUGUUCCCUGUGCAAGUAUGACAUGCAAAUUUGAGAAGUGCUCCAUAUUAAA
ensembl:snRNA U6 U6 spliceosomal RNA